rnacentral:ncRNA from 2 species
ACGUGCCGGGGCGAUGGGGCUCGCCCGUGACCGCACGGACCGCCGUGCUGAUGGCCUCUGCGUGGAC